rnacentral:rRNA from 1 species
AGCAGCCGCGGUAAUUCCAGCUCCAAUAGCGUAUAUUAAAGUUGUUGCAGUUAAAAAGCUCGUAGUUGAAUUUCGGGAUCAGUACGCUGGUCGUGCCUUUGGUAUGUACUGGUGUCACUGAUUCCUCCCUUCUGAAGAACCGUUAUGCCAUUUAUUUGGUGUGGCGGGGAAUCAGGACUGUUACUUUGAAAAAUUAGAGUGUUUAAAGCAGGCUCGCGCUUGAAUACAUUAGCAUGGAAUAAUGAAAUAGGACGUUUGAUCUUAUUUUGUUGGUUUCUAGGAUCGACGUAAUGAUUAAUAGGGAUAGGUUGGGGCAUUAGUAUUCAAUUGUCAGAGGUGAAAUUCUUGGAUUUAUUGAAGACUAACUACUGCGAAAGCAUUUGCCAAGGAUGUUUUCAUUAUCAAGAACGAAAGUUAGGGGAUCGAAGACGAUCAGAUACCGUCGUAGUCUUAACCAUAAAACUAUGCCGACUAGGGAUCGGAUGAUGUUAAUUUUAAUG